UGGUGAGGGUGCCCUGUACAGGUUCUCAACAAGUUUCUCAACAUCAUGAACUCUUCUUCACUCUCUAAAUUCACCAAUUCACAGCCGUUCUUUCAAUCUCCACAAGACCCUAAAAUCGUCAGAACUAGCUUACUUAACCUCCAAUUCUCGUUUCAUUUCCUUGGUGAAUCGCUGCAUCGGAAACGCUUCAGAAACGUUUCUUCUACAGUUCAGCUGAGAAAUGACAACUCGGUUGAGGAUCCUUUGAUUGUCAGCUCUCGUGUGAGAACGAGAGUUUCAUCGAACGACAGGCAGUUCGGUUUGGUGCCGGAGGAGAAUGAAUUCAGGCGCCGAGUUUUGCUGAGUUUAUAUCUUCGGAGAGAGUCAAAGUGGUCGCGAUGCUUGCUUUGGCUCUGGCGCUCUGUAAUGCCGAUCGAGUUGUCAUGUCGGUCGCCAUUAUACCGUUGUCGCUUGCUCAGGGCUGGAGCCGAUCGUUUUCCGGUAUUGUUCAGUCAUCUUUCCUCUGGGGAUACCUGGUUUCACCAAUAGCCGGAGGGACUUUGGUGGAUUAUUAUGGUGGUAAGGUUGUCAUGGCAUGGGGUGUGGCAUUAUGGUCGUUAGCUACUUUUCUUACUCCUUGGGCUGCAGACACCUCUUUAUGGGCUCUGUUGGCUGUGCGAGCUAUGCUUGGGAUUGCAGAAGGUGUUGCUCUUCCUUCCAUGAACAACAUGGUGGCAAGAUGGUUUCCGCAAACAGAGCGAUCCAGGGCUGUUGGAAUUGCAAUGGGUGGAUUUACAUUUGGAAAUGCAAUAGGACUCAUUCUUUCUCCAAUUCUCAUGUCAAAAGCUGGUAUUUUUGGGCCAUUUGUAAUUUUUGGAUUAUCUGGAUUUCUUUGGGUUUUGGUUUGGUUGUCUGCAACAUCAAGUACUCCUGAUCGACAUCCCCAGAUAUCGAAAUAUGAAUUGGAGUACAUACUGAACAAGAAGCAGAAGCCCUUCCUGAUGGAGGAUAAACCUAAGAAAAAGAAAGUGAUUCCCCCUUUCAGGCGGUUGCUAUCUAAAAUGCCAACAUGGUCCCUUAUCAUUGCCAAUGCCAUGCAUAGCUGGGGCUUUUUCGUUAUUCUUUCCUGGAUGCCAAUCUACUUCAACUCAGUGUAUCAUGUUGACCUGAGACAAGCAGCAUGGUUUAGUGCCAUUCCAUGGAGUGUUAUGGCAUUCGUGGGAUACAUCGGUGGUUUAUGGUCAGACACACUGAUACAUAAUGGCACAAGUGUGACUUUGACUCGCAAGAUCAUGCAGUCAAUUGGCUUUUUUGGUCCUGGGAUUGCCCUAAUUGGUGUAACUGCAGCGAGAAGUCCAGUUAUUGCAUCUUCUUGGCUUACUUUAGCUAUUGGGCUGAAAUCUUUCAGUCACUCUGGUUUUCUUGUGAAUCUUCAGGAAAUUGCACCCCAGUACUCUGGUGUUUUACAUGGAAUAUCAAAUACAGCCGGAACCUUUGCAGCAAUUUUAGGAACGGUUGGAGCUGGGUUUUUUGUUGAACUAGUGGGUUCAUUCCGAGGAUUUUUGUUGCUUACGUCGCUCUUAUAUUUCCUCUCUGCCCUUUUCUACAUCAUCUUUUCUACUGCCGAGAGAGUAAAUUUUGAUUAAACUGGUAAGUAUCCUCUGUUGUGAUGAUUUCAAUCAUUUUCUUUCCUUCUUUUGGCUAUGUUUUGCUUUUACUGGUCAAACAGUUAUGUUGGGCUAACAUGAUAUGGGUAGUCUCUCAAAGCCCAAACACCCCGAUCUCAUCGGGAUGAACCUCUGAUCACUUCCUUACUU